rnacentral:rRNA from 1 species
AUUGAACGCUGGCGGCAUGCCUUACACAUGCAAGUCGAACGGUAACAGGUCUUCGGAUGCUGACGAGUGGCGAACGGGUGAGUUAUACAUCGGAACGUGCCUAGUAGUGGGGGAUAACUACUCGAAAGAGUGGCUAAUACCGCAUGAGAUCUACGGAUGAAAGCAGGGGAUCGCAAGACCUUGUGCUACUAGAGCGGCCGAUGGCAGAUUAGGUAGUUGGUGGGAUAAAAGCUUACCAAGCCGACGAUCUGUAGCUGGUCUGAGAGGACGAUCAACCACACUGGGACUGAGACACGGCCCAGACUCCUACGGGAGGCAGCAGUGGGGAAUUUUGGACAAUGGGCGCAAGCCUGAUCCAGCAAUGCCGCGUGCAGGAUGAAGGCCUUCGGGUUGUAAACUGCUUUUGUACGGAACGAAAAGCCCUGGGUUAAUACCCUGGGGUCAUGACGGUACCGUAAGAAUAAGCACCGGCUAACUACGUGCCAGCAGCCGCCGUAACAC